AGGGAUAUAACUCAGUGGUAGAGUGUCACCUUAACGUGGCGGAAGCAAUUAGUUUGAGCCUGAUUAUCCCUA
rnacentral:tRNA from 1 species